rnacentral:rRNA from 1 species
GAAAAUUAAGGGCCCGCGGUAUUUUGACCGCGGCAAAGGUAGCAUAAUCAUUAGUCUUUUAAUUAAAGGCCUGGUAUGAAUGGUUGAACGAGGUGCAAGCUGUCUCAUUUAAAGCAUAAUUGAAUUUAACUUUUUAGUGAAAAGGCUAAAAUAAGAUUGGAGGACGAGAAGACCCUAUAGAUCUUUAUGGUGGAUGAAUUUAGAAAAUUUGGGGGAAGCUUUAUUAGAUUCARAAGCUAUUUUGUUGGGGUGACAGGAAAAUAAAAUUAACUUUUCUUUAUGGGUUACACAGAUUUGUGAUUAUUUGAUCCGUUAAACGAUUAUAAGACUAAGUUACCUUAGGGAUAACAGCGUAAUCUUUCUUAAGAGUUCUAAUCGACAGAAAGGAUUGCG